GCUCCGGUAGCUCAGUUGGUAGAGCAAGGGACUCUUAACCCCUGUGUCCACAGUUCAAGUCUGUGUCGGAGCAC
rnacentral:tRNA from 1 species